GACGAACGCUGGCGGCGUGCUUAACACAUGCAAGUCGUACGGUAAGGCCCUUUCGGGGGUACACGAGUGGCGCACGGGUGAGUAACACGUGAGUAACCUGCCCACAACUUUGGGAUAACGCUAGGAAACUGGUGCUAAUACUGGAUAUGUGCUCCUGCUGCAUGGUGGGGGUUGGAAAGCUCCGGCGGUUGUGGAUGGACUCGCGGCCUAUCAGCUUGUUGGUGGGGUAGUGGCCUACCAAGGCAGCGACGGGUAGCCGGCCUGAGAGGGUGACCGGCCACAUUGGGACUGAGAUACGGCCCAGACUCCUACGGGAGGCAGCAGUGGGGAAUAUUGCACAAUGGGCGCAAGCCUGAUGCAGCAACGCCGCGUGCGGGAUGACGGCCUUCGGGUUGUAAACCGCUUUCAGCAGGGACGAAGCUUUUUGUGACGGUACCUGCAGAAGAAGCACCGGCUAACUACGUG
rnacentral:rRNA from 1 species